rnacentral:rRNA from 1 species
UACGUAGGGUGCGAGCGUUGUCCGGAAUUAUUGGGCGUAAAGAGCUUGUAGGCGGUUUGUCGCGUCUGCCGUGAAAAUUCGAGGCUCAACCUCGAACUUGCGGUGGGUACGGGCGGACUAGAAUUCGGUAGGGGAGACUGGAAUUCCUGGUGUAGCGGUGAAAUGCGCAGAUAUCAGGAGGAACACCGGUGGCGAAGGCGGGUCUCUGGGCCGAUAUUGACGCUGAGGAGCGAAAGCGUGGGGAGCGAACAGG